rnacentral:lncRNA from 1 species
GUCAUCAAUACAAUGUUCUACCUAAGAAUCCUCGACUUGAGAAUGCUAAUGCAAUUACUGAACUUAAGUGGUAGAAUUCUUAAGGACCCAUAUCCAGAUCAGGUGAGAGAGACUAGUACUGAUGCUAGCCAAAAUAAAAAUUUGAAAAAAGAGGUUAGUACUGAGACUAACCCAAUAGAAGAAUCUGAGCCCGAAAUUGUUAUUGAGCUGGGUGAAAAAGAUAAAGAAAAGAAGAG